rnacentral:rRNA from 1 species
AGUCGUAACAAGGUCUCCGUUGGUGAACCAGCGGAGGGAUCAUUACUGAGUUACCGCUCUAUAACCCUUUGUGAACAUACCUAACCGUUGCUUCGGCGGGCAGGGGAAGCCUCUCGCGGGCCUCCCCUCCCGGCGCCGGCCCCCACCACGGGGACGGGGCGCCCGCCGGAGGAAACCAAACUCUAUUUACACGACGUCUCUUCUGAGUGGCACAAGCAAAUAAUUAAAACUUUUAACAACGGAUCUCUUGGUUCUGGCAUCGAUGAAGAACGCAGCGAAAUGCGAUAAGUAAUGUGAAUUGCAGAAUUCAGUGAAUCAUCGAAUCUUUGAACGCACAUUGCGCUCGCCAGCAUUCUGGCGAGCAUGCCUGUUCGAGCGUCAUUUCAACCCUCAAGCACCGCUUGGUUUUGGGGCCCCACGGCACACGUGGGCCCUUAAAGGUAGUGGCGGACCCUCCCGGAGCCUCCUUUGCGUAGUAACUAACGUCUCGCACUGGGAUUCGGAGGGACUCUUGCCGUAAAACCCCCAAAUUUUUUACAGGUUGACCUCGGAUCAGGUAGGAAUACCCGCUGAACUUAAGCAUAUCAAUAAGCGGAGGA